rnacentral:lncRNA from 1 species
CUUCUGUAUGUAAAAAUGUAUUAUUCCAUGAGUCGAAGGUGGUUGGGUUGAUCUGUCUGUCAAAUCCACAGGUGCAGCGCACGCUACUGAGAAAUCAGCAGUUCAGCCUGAAAGGCUGCCGAAGGAAGGAGCAGAGACACUUCGGAAGGCAUUGCCAUUUGAGGGAGUUCCUAUAGAUGUCGCGGAUGAGUGGAGUGCACCGUCACAACAGAGCGUGAUUAUUCCUAGUCCUGUCCCAGGGACUCUAACCGCAUUGACAAUAUAUUAAGCGGAAUAUUGCUAUCUACCUGGCACGUUUGUGCUGAAGAUCUUAGAGCACUCUGAUUUGUAGCACCACUGAAAAUGGUACCACAAAAGGUUGCAUUGGUUAACAAAGGAAGUCAAAAGGAAAGGAGAAAGCUUCUGAUGAUUUGCAAGCUCAGGUAACGUAGUAUUCCCAAAUAAUAAGUUAAGGAGUUUGACAAAGACACUUUUAAGAAGGGAGCUGUCUUCUGAUGCUCUGUGGCAAUGGAGAAGCUGUGCUGAUGGAUGGAGGAUGGUGGUUUGGGGCUGAGCACAAGGGUUUUUUAGCUCUGCCUGGAUCAAUAGAGCCGACCAGAAUUUGAUACCCUGAAGACAGCAUAAAACCAGCAUAGCCAUUUCUUGAGUGUUUGACGUCUGUCUUAUGCUUCUCUAGGUUCAGCCGAGAAUCAGCCUCUGGCUGAAAGUUGCUUCAUGUGAGGGGAUGAUUCAAGGAGGGAAAGGGCUAUCUGGAUUUUCUAGCUGAACUCAUGCUGAAAGACUCUGGCAAUCUUUGGGACACUGUAUUUUCUGUUGAGAAAAAUAGAUGUAUUUUUCCAGAAAACUGCAGGGAUUAGCAGCUCAAAAGUCACCAAAAUGUCACGUGUAUUAAACUUUCCUGAAAUCUGCCACAGACUAGUAGAAAGUGAAGGAAUCUGUUGGUCACAGAUAUUGCGAUAAUGCCUGUGUAAAGCAUUUGUGGUGAGCAUAGUAUCACACCGUAAACAGAGAGGGAGCCAGUAGUAAGGAUUUUGUAUUUUACAAACAGGAAUUUGUUUCUUUUCUAUAAUUUUAAAUAGAAUUUAGUAACACCUUUGCAAGCACAGUAUCUUUUACAUGUCUUUCCAUUUUAGAUUGAAAUACCCUAGGAAGGAGCACUUAUCAAGUAGGCCUUCAGUACAGGAACGUAAGUAAAAUAUUCAGAUCAAGGUAAAGCCUAAUUAAUCAUCACCAUACCAGCUAAUCUGACACAGAGCAACAGCUAAGUAAAGCCAUGGUAACAUGCCGCCUUCUGCCUUCAAAUUACAUGCCACAAUGUUCUAAAAAAAGUAGAUGUAUGCACAUAUAAAAUAAACAUAACUGUUUUUAGUGCCA